CAGGGUCCUGAGCAUCCUCCG
rnacentral:misc_RNA from 1 species